rnacentral:rRNA from 1 species
UACGGAGGUUGCAAGCGUUGUUCGGAAUAACUGGGCGUAAAGGGAGCGCAGGCGGCCUGCUUAGUCUGAAGUGAAAUCCCGGGGCUCAACCCCGGACGUGCUUUGGAUACUGGCAGGCUUGAGUACGUGAGAGGAAAGCGGAAUUCCAGGUGUAGCGGUGAAAUGCGUAGAUAUCUGGAGGAACACCGGUGGCGAAAGCGGCUUUCUGGCACGUAACUGACGCUGAGGCUCGAAAGCGUGGGGAG